AGCAGGGGGCACUGUGCGCCUGCUCCCGAUGGGUGUGAGCGGGCCCCGUGUUUGAGUACGGAGAGCCAAGUCUAGGGUCUGCAGUCUUUGCUCUCCCUCCCCGGCCAUUCGAAGUGAGACGGUUUGCUUUCGAGUUUCUCCACUGUAAGCUGCAGACGCCAUUUCUGGCGCUGCAGCCGGAGGCUUGUGGGCGCAGCGCUUGUCCGGAGCGGCCCCGGGGUGCCGGUGGCGGGGGAAGGUAGCGGGGGAGGCCGUGCCGAGGUGUGGGCCGGGGAGCUGGGCGGGCGGGCCUUGCGCGCGGCCUUUUGCGCCUCAGUGUCUGCUGUGGAGAGAGCUCUGCUACGGCCCGCUCCCGGGGUGCCGUUGCACACGGGCAGCCCAGCUUCCCCUCACCGAGCUCGUCCAGAGCUCCCCACCCUUCAGGCCUCCUGCGCUUCUUGGUUCCCUGCACGCAGCUUUUCGUCGCCUGGCCUUUUCCAGCUUCUAAGGGCCCAGAAAAGAGGCUGCAUUCCCUGGCUCACAGCCCCUUCCUUCACCUGUAAAGCCAGCUUUGUAGAUCUCUGCAUCGCCUCAUCAUCUCCUGUCUCCUUUUAUGGAUCCUGGUGUUCAUGUUGGACCCCCAUGGAUAGCCCUGGAUAAUCACAUGUGAAGGUCAGUUUAUCAGCAUCACAAUUUCAUGUGCAGCCUGCCUUUCUCCUAGCCAUGUGAUGGAACACAUUCACAGGUUCUGAAAAUUAGGACAUUUUUAUGGAUCGUUAAUCUGACUACCUUAAUAGCUUAGCUUUUAUGUCAGUUCAAAUGAAGAUGCUAUCUUUUUUCAGUACAAAAUAAUAAUAAAAGAUGCUAAAAUUAUUUAUUGCAGCCAUGUUUUUGAUGCUUUAUACUUUUUUUUUUUGGUACUUGGGAUUGAACUUGGGUCCUUGCACUUGCACAGCAGGCAGCAAAACCACUGAGCUAAAUCCCCAGCCCGCUUUAUACUUAUUAAUGCUCAUCAAUCUUAUGUAUAUAUUGUAGUCAUGCUAUUUUAUAAAUGAAACUGAGGAAAAGAGGUUUUAAGUAGCUUUCCAAAGCCCCACUGAUCCCAGGAAAUACCUGAUUACAAAGCCCUUGUUGUUGAGUCACUGGGAAGACUGAGUAGAUACAUCUUCAGACAGAUAGUUGUAUCCAGACUUAAAAAAUCAUCACCUGAGUGCCAAGGAUUUAGCUCAGUGGUCCCACCACCUGCCUCGAAAGUGCAAGGUCCCAAGUUCGAUCCCCAUACCAAAAAAAAAAAAUCAUCAACUGAAUAUUCUGUAUGAUGGGUUUUCCCUUUCUCCUUGUUAUUAAAAUGGAUUUAGAAUGGCAUUUGCAUGUGGUAUAAACAGUUUGAAUAGAAAAAUUAGAACAAGAAAAGUUGAUUUUCUGGCCUAUUUUCCCAAAUAUGUCUUAAUAGUUUUGGUUUCUUUUCUUUUCUUCUUUUUUUUAUGUUUUUGGUGGUGG
rnacentral:lncRNA from 1 species